rnacentral:tRNA from 1 species
UCCUCAAUAGCUCAGCGGUAGAGCAAUCGGCUGUUAACCGAUUAGUCGUAGGUUCAAAUCCUACUUGGGGAG